rnacentral:rRNA from 1 species
CAGUAGCCGCGGGAAUACGGAGGGUGCAAGAGUUAUCCGGAUUUAUUGGGUUUAAAGGGUCCGUAGGCGGACUUAUAAGUCAGUGGUGAAAGCCUGUCGCUUAACGAUAGAACUGCCAUUGAUACUGUAAGUCUUGAGUAUAUUUGAGGUAGCUGGAAUAAGUAGUGUAGCGGUGAAAUGCAUAGAUAUUACUUAGAACACCAAUUGCGAAGGCAGGUUACCAAGAUAUAACUGACGCUGAGGGACGAAAGCGUGGGUAGCGAACAGGAUUAGAUACCCCAGUAGUCCCUGUCUCUUAUAA